UACGGGGGGGCAAGCGUUGUUCGGAAUUACUGGGCGUAAAGGGCUCGUAGGUGGCCAACUAAGUCAGACGUGAAAUCCCCUCAGCUUAACUGGGGAACUGCGUCUGAUACUGGAUGGCUUGAGUUUGGGAGAGGGAUGCGGAAUUCCAGGUGUAGCGGUGAAAUGCGUAGAUAUCUGGAGGAACACCGGUGGCGAAGGCGGCAUCCUGGACCAACACUGACACUGAGGAGCGAAAGCCAGGGGAGCAAACGGG
rnacentral:rRNA from 1 species